CGCAUCUGUGCAUGCAGCAUAUCAAUAAGCGGAGGAAAAGAAACUAACAAGGAUUCCCUUAGUAACGGCGAGUGAAGCGGGAAGAGCUCAAAUUUGAAAUCUUAAAGGGUUUCCCUUUACGAAUUGUAGUUUAAAGAAGUGUUUUCUGUUGAGGUUUUGGUAAAAGUUCUUUGGAAUAGGACAUCAUAGAGGGUGAGAAUCCCGUAUUUGACCUUUACUUUCAACUUUGUGAUACACUUUCAAAGAGUCGGAUUGUCUGGGAAUGCAGUCCAAAAUGGGUGGUAAAUUUCAUCUAAAGCUAAAUAUUGGCGAGAGACCGAUAGCGAACAAGUACCGUGAGGGAAAGAUGAAAAGAACUUUGAAAAGAGAGUUAAACAGUACGUGAAAUUGUCAAAAGGGAAGCGUUUGACACCAGUGUUGUUUUUCUGAAAAUCAAUUAAAGAACUGUUUAUGCUAAGUUGUUUAGACUUUAUCAGCUAAUCUGCUUAGUUUUGAGCUUUUCUUUAAUGCACUUUUCAGUUAACAAGUCAACAUCAAUUUCUUUUGCUGUAAAAAAGCUUGAGGAAGGUGGCUUGAGAUUCGUCUUAAGUGUUUAUAGCCUCUUGCCUAUGCAGUCGGAGAGAUUGAGGUCUGCAGCGUAGAUCCUUCGGGGCUAAAUGCAUUUGUGCUAAGUUAUAGCAUUUUAUAGACAACUUGUUGACUAUGAUUUGUCUUGUAGCUUACUCGCUUAUGUUAUUUUACCUACGCUUAGGAUGUUGAUAGUCACAGCGUGUAC
rnacentral:rRNA from 1 species